rnacentral:rRNA from 1 species
UGGGGAAUCUUCCGCAAUGGACGAAAGUCUGACGGAGCAACGCCGCGUGAGUGAUGAAGGAUUUCGGUCUGUAAAGCUCUGUUGUUUAUGACGAACGUGCAGUGUGUGAACAAUGCAUUGCAAUGACGGUAGUAAACGAGGAAGCCACGGCUAACUACGUGCCAGCAGCCGCGGUAAUACGUAGGUGGCGAGCGUUGUCCGGAAUUAUUGGGCGUAAAGAGCAUGUAGGCGGCUUAAUAAGUCGAGCGUGAAAAUGCGGGGCUCAACCCCGUAUGGCGCUGGAAACUGUUAGGCUUGAGUGCAGGAGAGGAAAGGGGAAUUCCCAGUGUAGCGGUGAAAUGCGUAGAUAUUGGGAGGAACACCUGUGGCGAAGGCGCCUUUCUGGACUGUGUCUGACGCUGAGAUGCGAAAGCCAGGGUAGCGAACGGG